CUUUCAGAGCCAGGAAGCUUGGAAAAAUGAGGUGACAAAAGCAGCUGGCCAGCAAUUAGGGAGACUUCUAUACAAUCAGUAUCUCAACGUGAAGACUGCCGACCACCCGCUUAACCCCGGGACACCUGUUAACACGCAGAUUCCACAGCUUUACCCCACUUCUACUGCGUCUCGUCCUCUGGGAACCAGGCCUCCAGAUCACGUCAGGCCCGCGCACUCAGCCUGUACCCUAUACCUCGGGCUGGUGUGGGGACACGGAGCAGCUGCAGAGGAACCUCCUAGACUAUGCUGCUAUGGCUCUGCGGGCAGCUUUGCCUCAAACCUCAAAAUCAUGAUCCUCUUGGAGGUAGCAUCCCCAGGGACAGCGGCUUCUGCUCCGGGCUGUGUGAG
rnacentral:lncRNA from 1 species